AAUGCAGGGAAGGGGGGAAAACAAAAGAAAAAUACCCAAAGUUAGUAAUCAAAACCAUAAAAUCGGUAUGCAUGCCCUAUGGGGGAACCCUUUUAUGCCAAGGGUAGGCCUAGCAUGAAAAUGCAAUCCGUUAGAGUAGGCACCAUACUAUACCUGAUGGAUCCAAUCAGCUUAUGGAGUGAAAAAUAAUUUGAAAAAUUUGGCCAUUGGAGUGACGAGAGAUUUGUCAAAAUGAGGACAACGUCCGAAUAGAUUGAUCACCUUUGAUUUGCAAAAGGCACGGGUUUGACCUUGACGAACCUCCCAUCGAAAAGAUUGGAAUUCGUUUUAACAAAUUUUCUCAGUGAAUUACGGGUCAAAACCCUAAUUGAUCAAAUGAUUGGAUGCAAUGGACGAUUUUUCAAAAUUGACUAGAUCUCCCAAUUUGGAAUUUGACAAUGAAACCCUAAUAGGGCAAGUGGGUUGAAUGAAAUUGACAAUUUAUUUAAAAUCGACCGAAUUACCCUAAAAGGGAAACAGGUCAAAUGAAUUGAGUGAAAUUUAUCCGAAAUUAAUCAGAUCACCCUAAAAAGGGUAAAUUGAUCAAAUAGAUUGAACGAAACAUGAUUUAUUCAAAAUCGGCUCGGUCGCCCUAAAAAUGGGUAAAUUGGUCAAAUGAACGAAAUUGAAUUAGGGAUUUAUUCAAAAAUCGGCCGAAUGACCCUAAAAAGGGUAAAUUGGUCAAAUGAAUUGGAUGAAAUGAAUUUAUUCAAAAAUGAUUAGAUUGAACUAAAAUUGAAUGAAUUGGAAAAAAAUGGAUUGGAUAAGAUGGAUGAUUUGUUCAAAAAUCGGUUGAAUUAUUCGCCCACUGGGUGGUUUCAAGAAAUCAUUACAAUGCCUUGGUCUAUG
rnacentral:lncRNA from 1 species